rnacentral:rRNA from 1 species
UACGUAGGCAGCGAGCGUUGUUCGGAGUUACUGGGCGUAAAGGGUGUGUAGGCGGCCUCUUAAGUUUGGUGUGAAAUCUACAGGCUCAACUUGUAGUCUGCAUGAGAAACUGCCGGGCUUGGGUAUGGGAGAGGUGAGUGGAAUUCCUGGUGUAGCGGUGAAAUGCGUAGAUAUCAGGAGGAACACCUGUGGCGAAAGCGGCUCACUGGACCAUAACUGACGCUGAUGCACGAAAGCUAGGGGAGCAAACAGG